CCCUUUUAGUUGGGGAAUCCUGGUUUAUAAGAAAAUGUUUAUGUCCUUAUAAUAGUUUGUCAGGUGACCGUUCCUUGAAUACUAAGAGAAAAGUUCCCUCCUGUAUAACUAUGUUUACCCAUCUCUCAAUCUUUUGAGUUUGUUGUCUUUGAUUGAAUAUGUUUAUGCAAAUUCAUUUACCUACUCUUUUCCUAUUUAUGUCUCUGAAUAUCUAUCUGAGUGUGCUGAUUAUUUGUGUUUUAUUUCAGGUUCGCCGACGCUCCCCACCGAACGACCGCCCCGCCGACCUCCAGCUGUGUGUGUGGGUCCCUUCGUCCCCCCACCCCCCACACCACCGGCCUCCUCCUAAAGAACAGUCAUCAGCGGUUGGUGGGUUGUCAGGCCCGAAACCUCACCCUUGUUACAUUGCGAAGCCACUGUAGACUUCGAACCUCAUGAACCAUCGAAGCAACAGGUGGAGGGUCGGCGCGGGAGGCAGUAACUCUUGACCACUCCCAGGGAGAGAGGUGCACAGCCACUCCUCGACGAUUCCCACUACCUUCCCGCCCCCAGCCAUUAUUGAACCUCGUCAGCCGGCACUGUAUGGAUGUUAGAUUGCAGGACAUCUGACCUUGUCAUGAUAUCAAUGUAUAUGAUCUGGACUGGCCUGCAGGAUGCGGAGAAGAGAAACAAUCUGACCACAUACAUCAUCAGUAUAUGUGCUUCAGACUUCUUGUCAAGUAUGAGUCAUCAAUGAAAAGGUGAUCUGCUCACAGCACUCAACAUUGAAUUACUACUUGGGUAAAGUGCAAUUAACCUAUAUUAUAUUGACUAUGAUUAAUGUUUUAUGAGAAUUUAACUGAUUGCAUUGCAGGGAACAAAAUUAGUGCUCCUCAUAAAUGUAUGCCAUGCACUCAACUUCACAUAUGCUAAUCAUGAAAAUGCUUUACCCAUUCCUGAUAACAAUACCCCAGCCUCUCUCUUUGUUGGUUUGUGCCAGUGUACUUUGUCAACCACGAGCCAUUAGUGAAGUCACGUCCUCCAGCUCACAGCCAGCAUGCACUCCUCGUAUUCUGUGUGAACAGAUGCUUUGUUGAUCAGCUCUCCCUCUUCUGGGUUGCCAGUUGCUCUAAAUGAGUCAUGGAUGACAGGAACAGUAGAUCAAAUUAUUAGAUGACAUUAGUGUUAGGCACCAAAUGAGGGAGACUUGAGCAAGCCAGAAUUUGUGAGUAUUGUGAGGAAUGGGUGAAACAUUUCAAAGAUAGUAUUGGUGUAAAUAUGUCCAUAGCUAACCUUGUUCUUUUAAGCCCCAGGAGUCUUUCCUCAUGACUGACAUUUCUCAUGAAAGACCUGGAGGGUAUGCUCUUUCUUAGGAACAGUCCUUGGGAAGUCUUUUUGGGUUACCACAAUUGUAGUACAGGCCCUAGAGCCAGACUAACUUGCAACUGAAGGGAGGCUGAUGAACAAAACACAUAACCAAGCAAGCUACAAGAGCAGUGAGGGUGUGUGUUGUCUGUGAACUGGAUGGAGUGUGUGCCAUCGGUAAUAGCCCACAUGGCCAGCAUAAUGCACUGACAUCCAACAUACAUUAAUGAGGAGCACUGCAUACUGCUAUACUUAGUUCUUUAGUCAUGAGGAAAAUCAAAACUACAGCAAACAGAUAAGAUUUUUUUAUCAAAUGUAUAUAUAGUAAACAGGUAAUAGGUUUCUUUAUUUAACAUAUAAAUAUUAUAGCUAAAUUCUAUAUAGUGCCUGCAAGAGAAAUUUACAUAGAAGUGCAAGAAAAUCUACACGUAAAAGUGAGUGCUCUUUACACUUGCAUAGCCAUCACAUUGUUGGCAGGAAGACUUAAUCCUACGUCUGGUAGAUGAACAGAUAACUAUAGGGGGAGGAGAGCAUGUAGGACACUCACUACUAACUGAGCUGUUGAUCUGCAUGUGUGUACUGUUGAUAGCUCCAUUGUCUUCCUUGCUCUCAUAUAUUCUACUUGGAGGCAUCACCAUGGAGGUCUGUAAGCUUAAUAAAGAAGAGGAAGUUCUUGGCUUGACUCAGUUGGUAAAAUGUGGCUUUGAUAUGUGAAUCAAGAUAGUUGGGUGACAUGCGAGGCUAUUUUCGAUAUUAUCAAGACCAUGACCAGGUGGACAAUUGGCAUUGGAUUGAAUACAAACAUUUCUUUGAUUGACAAACUUUUCAAAUUUUUGAUAAGCUUCAGUCUUGGCCCUCUUGGGAGAUGUCUUUUUAUUUUCUGACUUGCUGCCUAUUUACCACCCAGGGAUGACACUGUUGAGGCAGGCCCGCAGCAGCCUUGAUGAAGUCGAAAAUAGCCCAUGUGUGUUAACCAAAUAUCUUGAACCACACUUCACAAAACCAAGACCUACCAACUGAGUCAUGGUAUGAGCAUCCUCUUCUUUAGUAAGCUAAUGGCAUCCCAUGGUGACACCUCAAAGUAGAAUGAGCGAGGUCCAAAAACAGCUUUAACUGCAUAGGCAGGAGAUGGUGGAGUGGCCAGCAGCACAUCCAUUCAAAUUGAAUGCUCAAUGAGCAACGAGGGUCUUGCACACUUUUCUCUCUUUAGCUAUCUGGUCAGCUACCAGACUUACAAAUGAGUCUUCCUGCGAACGAGGUGGUCGUUACACAAGUGUAAAGGAUUCACUUUCACAUGUAGAGUUUUCUUCUGUUUCUGAUGUGUAAAUUUCUUUUGCAGGUCCUAUACCUCAGUGCAGGUCCAAAUGCCUUGCCAACAUUUCCCACUAGUGGUUAGCAUGUUUUGUUCACUACAGUCCAUCAACCUCAAGCUUGUGACUGGAGGAAAUAGUUGAUUUUGUAAUCUUAUUGAUUGGAUUUUCACUUCAGGAAAACAACCUGCACAACUUAGAAAUUGGCUGCCUCAUAAGAAGUUUCAUUGUUAUUCUUUGUAGCUCACUAAUGUUGCACAAUACUUUUCUUUGGACAACUCAACAACUUCCUUCCUCUGUCAUCUGAAAUCUGAUAACAAUCAUAUCCAAAACUUAAUGGCAUGCCAUUAUCUUUAUACAGGAACCUGAAUAGUCCUUGAAAAAAUUUGGCAUGAAAUAGAAAAUGUGAAGAGCAGCAUUGUGCAACAUAGGAGAUCUACAGAGAUUAAAUGCAACUCUUAGUGUAGAGACCAGUUUCUAGGUGUGCAGGAGACUGGCUGCCUCAAAAUGCUGUUCAGUCAGCAAUAAGUGAAGUCACCUACAGUUAUGAAUAUAGUCAUGAUGGAUGAGUAGUAAAUAUAUAGAGAGAAUGAACAUAUUUUCAGCACAGGAUAUGAAGCACAUAGCUCCAUAUGUUAUAUAUUAGGCACUUAGAAGCAAAGCAGAGUAUUCCAUAAGACCAUUGUUUUGAGAAAUGAAGUUACAAAGUCUGGUUAAGCAUACAUCAAUGUGAUUAUCUAGAUUAUCUAUUCAAGUAUUGUUUUGCCAUGUGUUUGUCACCAUACACCAUACUAAAAAAAAAUUCCUGAAUCAUACAUUAUUUUUAAAAAUAACGUCAUAGAAGGUUCACAUCGUAUGGAAGUUUUGUUCUACAUCGAUUAUAAAGUAUUAAUUUUUUUGGGGUGUGAAUUUUUUCAGUGAGCUGCAAAAAAGACGCAUACAACUGACGCUGCAUGGGGUGGCGCUGUUGUAUGAUUGUCUGAGCCAAGAUGUGUACUGGGAGGUGUGCGUGCGUUGACUGCCAGCCUCUGCUUCUUUAACUCCAAACUGGUUUGUACUAUGGAGCAGGCAAAAACACGUUACAUCAAACCUACAUUACAUCCACCACAUGGUUGCUUUUCCCUUGGCAUUUUAUUGUCUGUGGCUUUUGAGACCCUCAGUAGCAGUAAAUGGCUGCUGAGGGUCUCAAGUCACAUACAAUAAAAUGUUUGAAGUCUUUGUGUUUUUGCCCGCUCCAAAGUACAAACCAACUUAAGUUAUAGAAGCAGAGGCGUAAAUCUCCUGGCAGCCAAUGCACACAUGC